AUGCUCUUGGUAAGCACUGUGUGGUUGUGUUCUUAUACUGACAGUACAGAAAGAGAAGGCAGAGUAAAUCCACCCAAUAUACACCUCAGCCCAAGCACUUUGACUGGUCUGUAUUGUGAAUGGGGGGACAUGG